rnacentral:rRNA from 1 species
ACGCUCGACACCUACGGGGGCAGCAGUGGGGAAUAUUGCACAAUGGGGGAAACCCUGAUGCAGCGACGCCGCGUGAAGGAAGAAGUAUCUCGGUAUGUAAACUUCUAUCAGCAGGGAAGAAAGUGACGGUACCUGACUAAGAAGCCCCGGCUAACUACGUGCCAACAGCCGCGGUAAUCUGAGCGGGCUGGCAAGGC